rnacentral:rRNA from 1 species
UACGAGGGGGGCGAGCGUUGUUCGGAAUUAUUGGGCGUAAAGGGUGCGUAGGCGGUUUGGUAAGUCUUGUGUGAAAUCUCCAGGCUCAACUUGGAGUCUGCACGAGAAACUGCCGGGCUUGAGUGUGGGAGAGGUGAGUGGAAUUCCUGGUGUAGCGGUGAAAUGCGUAGAUAUCAGGAGGAACACCAGUGGCGAAGGCGGCCCGCUGGGCAGUGGCUGACGCUGAGGAGCGAAAGCGUGGGGAGCGAACAGG